rnacentral:tRNA from 1 species
GCCAGAGUGGUGAAAUCGGUAGACACAGCAGACUUAAAAUCUGCCAACCAUAACAGGUUGUGCCGGUUCGAUUCCGGCCUCUGGCACCA